rnacentral:rRNA from 1 species
UACGUAGGGUGCGAGCGUUAAUCGGAAUUACUGGGCGUAAAGCGUGCGCAGGCGGCUUGAGAAGUCCGAUGUGAAAGCCCCGGGCUUAACCUGGGAACGGCGUUGGAAACUUUCAAGCUGGAGUGUGGCAGAGGGGGGUGGAAUUCCACGUGUAGCAGUGAAAUGCGUAGAGAUGUGGAGGAACACCGAUGGCGAAGGCAGCCCCCUGGGCUAACACUGACGCUCAGGCACGAAAGCGUGGGGAGCAAACAGG